CUCUUGCUCUGCUUCAAUCAUUCUACACAUCUAUCCCCUUCUAUCAAACAUCUAGCCCUCUUAUCCUGCAAUAUGACAUCUGGUUGCUGCAUCUUUCAUCAUUCUGAUUGCAUCAUGUGAUCUAUUGCUUCUACCUCUCAUUGUCAGAGUAUUCAUCUUGUUCAUAAUCAUUUCAUCUCCUCUUUCAAUGCCUCUUCUGCGCGCGAUCUCACUUCUGUUGAGGAGAUCGCCCUCGAUGAUGUUG
rnacentral:sRNA from 1 species